AUUCAAUCCCCCAUUUUUUCGGGGGAAUUGCUGCUGGCGCUCAAAAAAACUUCUGGGUAUUUCAGACAAAGCUUGUAGCUUUUGCAUGGCUAAACAGCACCAUUCAAAGAACAAGAAGUGCUUUGUUUGCGACAAGCAAAAGGAUGGCUAGAGAGGGUGAAUUACAGUUACUACAUUUACUUAUUGAUCUAUUUGCUUUGAAGUCAUGUGGCAGGAAUGCUUCUUCCCCUCCCCACCUUUGGCUAAGUGUUGAAGAGGAAGUUCACUUUUGACUCUGAUAAAAUGUGGAAAUGCAUAACAACGGUGGAAGUUCACUUUGGUAAUGUAAGUUAACGAUCAGCUUUCGUCCAUUUUGUGGUGGUGAUGGUGUCUGAAAUUAUCUUGUGCUUAGUAUACUCCUUGUUUUGAAAUCUGUACCCACAAAAGAAGAGAUUAAAUGAAAAUACUUUACAGUAGAAUUUGAAUACUGUACCCACAGUUUAGUAACCUUUUUUACCAACUCUUUACAACAGGGACUGGAGGAUUUACAUAGAUACAGAGAUGGUUAGGAGGUAAGAGAUGUACACGACAAAACAGAGAGGGCAAAUUAAAUCCUCUACUUAUUUUCAUAUGAACAUCUCCUAUAUGCAUGUAGAAGAAUCUAAGCAGAAUGGAAUUAAACUCCUGUGAGUAUCUCCUUGGUUGCCAACCCGCUGCUCUCUAGAUUAUUUUCAUGGUUCCAUGAGUGUGGAGAUGGUGAAGUAAGUAGUGGCCACAAGAGAUUCCUCUGUUUUCUCACUUUCCGAACAACCAUCCUCGUGUGUUGCCUUAGGACUCCAUUCACAGCCUUUAGAUAGUUGCUCGAGUCAUGGUCUCGUAGGAUUGUACCUUCUGAACCGUAAGCUGUGGGAUCACUUAGAGUUUCUAGUGGAUGUGGGGAGUUCAAGAAAGCCCUAAGUAGACUUGAAGAGAAUCCACAUUGGGUCUUGUCCAAAGCAUAGAGGGCACACCCCAGAGGAAGUAGAGGGUGUGGAGGAGAUGAAUUUUCGUCAGGUUGGAGAAUGAAUAGUUUACCCAUGGGAGAGUAUAAUAUUUUCUGCAUAAAAACACAGUGAAUGAGAAAACUUGCUUGUACUUCAAAUUCAGUAGAUAGGUUAUCUAUAUCAAAUUCUACAUUUUCCUAUAUCUUUUUAUAAAGCCUUUUGAUUACAUAUGUUGGUCCUUACAGAUUCUGGUCUUAACUCUACUCUGUGCACGAAUAGCAUUCUUUGAGGUUAGAGUGGGAAAUGACAGAUGAGUUUAAAGCCAUAACCCUAUCUAUUUUUUGGUGGACUUCGAUACUUACAUUUUUUAUCAGACAAGGGUGUGACCGAAAUGAGCCAUUUAAACGCUUGAGAAGUGUGGCCACAUGGUUAGGGUAGUUGCAGGAGAAGGCUCUAGGGACAAUAUCUCUAUGCAUCAUCACGGAAUGGAUUUGAUUCUCAUCCAUGCCCAAUUGGUCAAGUAUUUUCUGGCCUCCGCAGAACACAAAUGGUGAGCCAAAUGUGACAACUGGCCGAAGAAUGGAGGGUUUUACAAGCUUCCUACUCAGUAGCAUCAAGUGGACUAAAAGAGAAAGGCUUCCUCCAAGAGAAUGACCUGUAAAUUGAAGUUUUGCUCGCUCACCGUGUUUAUUCAAGUGGUCGAUUAUUUCCGGCAUAAAUUGCUCGUACAUUCCCUUUGCUGCUUCAUAGAUUCCUCUGUGAACAAGUACAUCUGUCCCCUGUACAAGGACAUUGGGUUGUCAGUGGUUUCUCAAUUUCUUUCCUUCUGCAACAUUAACAAGUGGGGAAUCCGAGUCUAUGCUUACCUCAAAUUUGGUGGGUUCGAAGAAGAGGUUUGCUUGCCAGGAAGAGAGGGAGUCGGAACCCUGCAAGCAAAAAUAAUUUGCAUGUUAAGUAUUCAGCAAUCUGCUGCACACUAUCUCUUUGUUUCAGAAAUCAGAAGAUUGUGCCACUUGAACUCUGCCUUUGUAAUUCAUUAAUUGGAUAUCAAAAGACCUUGUAGAGCUAUUGCCAACUGAAAGUAGAGUUAAUGAUUUAUCAAACACAGAUCAAGUGGGAUCAAGGGCUAAGACAUUACCUGAAUCACAAAGCAACGAGUAUAUGUACUGGAGUCAUCACAAACAAACCAUUCACAAGGUGAGGAGUGGAGUGACUGAAGGUCCUUUGCUGUUUCUUGUUUCUCCCUUUCCCCUGCUGCAACCAUUACUGUCAUUGUCGAUGCUGCCAUGGAAACAGCCACCUCUGGUUUAUAGAUUCGAGUUGAGCUCCCUCCUUCCUCCCGUGAAUUCUCACAAUUUCUGCCUGAAUUCUCACCAUCACCCUCAUGCUGUGAUUUAGACCCAAGGGGAAGGCUAUCCUUAUCCCUUGAGCGCACAUAAGACGCAGCUGAGGCAGCAAUAUUGUAAGCAACAGAUGGACGGAUUGAACACUUCUGCUCGGAUUCUGCCGCUUUCUCUGAAUUGGAUUCACUAGCUACUUCGGCAGCUACAGGUGCACAAGUAGAGUCCUCAUCAAGUUUUGCUUUGAUUUCAUCUGCCUCGGCUUUCUUUUCUAAUGAAGAUGUUACAAACUGUAGCGCAUAAUACCUCUUCAAAUCAUUGGCCUGCACAUGCAUUAGCAGUGUGAAUUUAUUUCCUCAUGCUUGAAAUAUCCAACUUCUGUUUCACUAUAAAUUUUUUAUGUAUAUGUUAUGACUUCUGAACCAUGCUGAACAAAAACGUACCUUGAUCUGUGGGAUCACAUAAGCCAGGUUGCACAAGAAGGCUAGCUGAGAAAAAAGCUUGGUAUCAGACCAUGGUACUCUAACCAAAAAUUUUGAGAAAAAUUCAGGACUAAUUUCUCCAUCAUCUUCUUCUGAAGUAUAAUCCACUGCACAACCUCCUUCCUCUCCACCACAUUCACAAUCACCAUUUUCACCGUUGACACAAAAGUUGUCGUUUGUGCCUUCAUCUGCAACGUCUUUUUUCUGCCUAUUCCUCCAUUUACUUCUUAUUUCCACAAGCCUCUCCACCCAAUUGGCUCUUUUUCUCUCCUCAUCACCAGCACUCCCCUCAGAGUUCACCACCGUAUUCAUGUCCUUCUCCUCCUCUACGCUCAUAUGCUUACUCGUGUCUGGAUCAAACAAGAAUGAUCGAACAGAGUUUGGGAGAAUGGAAGUCGAAAAUUGAAAUGGGAAAAUCCCCAUCGAACGGCUGUUUUUCAGUUUUGGUUGUGUUGAAGCAGCAUGGAUACGAUUAAUGCAGUGACAAAGAUGGUUAUCCGAAUAAGACCUCCGGAUAGCAGCACGGUUGUAAAGGUCUUGGCUAGAGUGUGACCGCCGGAGACCAUUGUGCUCUUUGAAGAUUUCUGUUCUCCUGGAGGAAGCCGGAGAGGUAGGAAUAACCAGUGAACUGCAUGCCAUGGUUGCACCAAACUACAAGCAAUGAAGGUUCACUUCCUAUGUAGGGAUGACUUGCCUGGAAAAUAUUUAAACUCUUUUAGCCAACAAUUUGUAAUCCAUAAGAGGAUCAGAUGUUCCAGAACUCCUAAUUGUUUUUUAGCCGAGUUCCUGAAAGCAAACGAACAUAUGGCAAUGGAGUUUUAUAGAGCUCCCCUUCUAAUCA